CACGGAGAACACACUUGAGGUAGCUCCCUACUCGCUUUCUCUGGACAACUAUUUAGAUAGACAUUGUCAGCUGGAAAUUUGAAGAUGGCUCAUGGGAGGGACCAUCAUUAUUUUGGCCAUGGCACAUGGUGACCGAGCCCUAUGAAAGAGCAAGGGAAUGAUGGCUAGGCCAAGAUCAGGGUAGCAGCACCACUACUAAAACCCUUCAACAGCUGAAAUCCUACAAAUGGCUGAUAGAGUUCAAUCAUUUGGGGGCUCAUUUCUUCAGUGGAACUUCCUUCCAAAGGUUGCCAGCUGAAAUAUGGGGUCCCUAGAGAAACGUUCAAAUGACAUGUAUAUUUGCCAGAAUUCAGUGGAAAAGCUUUCCGUCUC